GGCUUAAUUUGGGGCUUAAUACUUUUUAUUUCGCUAAUAUCAUGAUUGAUUCUACAUUCUACACAUGUUACAAGAAGUAGCCACUGGAGUUCCUCUCGGAAAAAAACAACAAGUACUUGGAAAAAUAACUUGAUAAUUUAAAAAUAGGAAAAAAAACAAAGUUGUGACUACCUAAUUAACUGAAAAUUUCUCUGGGCCGGCACAAAAGGAGAUAUAUGAACACCCUUUUAGUCUCUCUUUCAGAGCUAGCUAGGAUCAACAAACCCAUCAACAUCAAGUGAUGUAUGAUAUUAAUUAAGCAAAUAAUUCUGGGUUAUCAAAAGGAAAAUCGUUGUCAAAAUCCACGUUAUCUAAUGAGAUAUCCCAAUCUCCGAUUGACGAAUUGGUAGUCGAAGUUGUGGGUGAAUUAGAUUCCGGCGUUUUCACGUUGUGGUCUAUUCCGUUCAUGUGGCACCGGGACAUAACCAGGUGGCUAGAGUCAGAAGUGGCUGGAGAUAUAAAUGCAGGAGAUAAACUACCCAAAAAAUCGUUUUCCAUCAUAGACUCCUUGAAAAUAUCAUUUCCCUCAUCUCCAUUCCCUGAGGAAGCAUCUGGAAAAGAAAAGAAUGGAAAUAUGUCGUCCACAGUUUCACACUCCUGGCUUUUAAGUCCUUCUCUGAAGUUGAAAGAUGAGUACUCUUUUAAUGGCUUUGGUUUCUGUUCAGGUUGUUCUAAUUGACAACCAUCCUUGCCUUGCUUCGAACACUUGGCAUUUAUCAGGGAUGCUGAGGCUACGGCUAAACGAGAGGCUUUGAAACAUGUAUGUCUUCCUCGAUAGGUGAUUUCAAAAAUUGUAGGGUCCUGAUCUGAUCUUUGAACUUGUUUCGUGGCCAAACAACCUUGUGAGUGACGGUGAGUGCAUCUGUAGUAUCCUCUUGGAAAAUUAGCUCCAAGAAUAUCUUUCUGGCCAUAUUUCCUCCAGCUAUAACCAUCAUCGACAUGUGGCCCUUCCAGACCCGUCCCUGAACAAGCCUUCACUUGUUCAGUCCAUCUGGGUUCUGUCUUUCUCUUCUUGAAAACAUUUUUUUGAUAGUGAUCCUUGCAGUCUUGAUCUGAGACAUCACUUCUAGGGCUGCUAUUGGCAUAGUAAUAUGGUGAUUCCAAUGUACUAAUGGUGGGCUUAAUCUCAACCGCACAAGGACCCCAAUUUAGCAUGGAAAGUGCUUUCUCGUAGGAGGAAAGUAUCUUCUCAACAAGGAAUUGACGCGUUUCAGGCGACGAAAUAGAGUUAAGAUGCUUCCUUAGCUGCUCUGCUAGCUCUUUCCCUUGUGUCAGCUCAGCGAUGAGAGUCUUUUGCUCCCCAUCCAUGGCCUUUUCCAUGUACAAAAUGCUGCAAGAACAAUUAUAAUUUAACAAAAGCAAGGAAAUUGAAGUAUUGGAGAAGAACCAAGAAGCAUGGAAGUUGAGCUUGCAGUAUGAGAAGGAUAUGUGGGUAUCCAAGAUUCUCCCACUAAAACAGACCAAACCACCAAAACAUGAGAGUAGAAAUGAUUCCAAAUGACAAGGGUUGAUGGGGGCAAGUGAGAGAGAUAUAAGCCAAGAGAAAGAGAUGACAAAGCUAUUUGAAUGCAAGAAAGGGAGAGGCUUUUCUUAGUAACGAAGCUGUGAGGAACAUGGGAGAUAUAUGAAGGGAAAAGGGGAAGAAAAAGAUAAAUUUUUUGGUCGAAAUCUG
rnacentral:misc_RNA from 1 species